UACAGAGGUCUCAAGCGUUGUUCGGAUUCAUUGGUCGUAAAGGGUGCGUAGGUGGCCUGGUAAGUCGGAUGUGAAAUCCCGGGGCUCAACCCCGGAACUGCAUUCGAUACUGCUGCGCUAGAGUACUGGAGAGGAGAUUGGAAUUUACGGUGUAGCAGUGAAAUGCGUAGAUAUCGUAAGGAAGACCAGUGGCGAAGGCGGAUCUCUGGACAGUUACUGACACUGAGGCACGAAGGCCAGGGGAGCAAACGGG
rnacentral:rRNA from 1 species